ensembl:miRNA
GGUGGAGGGGGGGAUCUGACGUCCCUGAGUGUAUGUGGUGAACCUGAAUUAGCCUUGGAUUCUCAUAUCAUCAGGAGUGUCAGCUGCCCAUCAAC